ensembl:lncRNA
AUGGCUACAGUUGGCAGAGGACGUGCUGGUGCUGUUGUUGUGGUGGUGGUUGUAGUUGGAGUUGUUGUUGUUGUUGUGGUGGUUGUAGUUGGAGUUGUUGUUGUGGUGGUGGUUGUAGUUGGAGUUGUUGAUGUUGUGGUUGUUGUAGUUGGAGUUGUUGUGGUGGUGGUUGUUGUUGUUGUUGCUUUUGUUGUUAUAGUAGGGCUGGUGGUAGUUGUAUUAGGUUUGGCUGGUGUUGUGGUGGCGGUUGUUGUUGUAUUAGGUGUGGUUGUGGUGGUGGUGGUUGUUGUAUUAAGGUUGGCUGUUGUUGUUGUAUUGGGUGUGGUUGUUGUGGUGGUGGUGGUUGUUGUAUUAGGUGUGGUUGUGGUUGUUGUUGUAUUAAGGUUGUCUGUUGUUGUUAUUGUAUUAGGUGUGGUGGCGAUUGUUGUGUUAGGUGUGGUUGUUGUUGUGGUGGCGAUUGUUGUUGUAUUAGGUGUGGCUGUGGUUGUGGUGGCGGUUGUUGUUGUGGUAGGUGUGGUUGUUGUUGUGGUGGCGGUUGUUGUUGUAUUAGGUGUGGUUAUGGUGGUGGUUGUUGUUGUAAUAGGUGUGGUUGUGGUUGUUGUUGUAUUAGGUGUGGUUGUGGUGGUGGUUGUUGUUGUGUUAGGUGUGGUUGUGGUUGUUGUUGUAAUAGGUGUGGUUGUGUUUGUGGUAGGUGUGGUUGUUGUUGUGGUGGCGAUUGUUGUUGUAUUAGGUGUGGUUGUGGCGGCUGUUGUUGUUGUAUUAGGUCUGGUUGUGGUUGUGGCGGCGGUUGUUGUUGUAUUAGGUGUGGUUGGUGUUGUGGUGGCGGUUGUUGUUGUGUUAGGUAUGGUUGUGGUUGUGGUGGCGGUUGUUGUUGUAAUAGGUGUGGUUGUGUUUGUGGUAGGUGUGGUUGUUGUUGUGGUGGCAAUUGUUGUUGUAUUAGGUGUGGUUGUUGUUGUGGUGGCAGUUGUUGUUGUGUUAGGUGUGGUUGUUGUUGUGGUGGCGAUUGUUGUUGUAUUAGGUGUGGUUGUGGUUGUGGCGGCGGUUGUUGUUGUAUUAGGUCUGGUUGUGGUUGUGGCGGCGGUUGUUGUUGUCUUGGGUGUGGUUGGUGUUGUGGUGGCGGUUGUUGUUGUAUUAGGUGUGGUUGGUGUUGUGGUGGCGGUUGUUGUUGUGUUAGGUAUGGUUGUGGUUGUGGUGGCGGUUGUUGUUGUGGCAGGUGUGGUGCCUGUUGUUGUUGUAUUAGGUGUGGUUGUGGUGGUGGUUGUUGUUGUGUCGGGUGUGGUUGUGGUGCCGGUUGUUGUUGUAUUAGGUGUGGUGGCGGUUGUUGUUGUGUCGGGUGUGGUUGUGGUUGUGGUGGCGGUUGUUGUUGUGUCAGGUGUGGUGCCGGUUGUUGUUGUAUUAGGUGUGGUUGUGGUGGCGGUUGUUGUUGUGUCAGGUGUGGUGGCGGUUGUUGUGUCAGGUGUGGUUGUGGUGGCGGUUGUUGUUGUGUCAGGUGUGGUUGUGGUUGUGGUGGCGGUUGUUGUUGUGUCAGGUGUGGUGCCGGUUGUUGUUGUAUUAGGUGUGGUUGUGGUGGCGGUUGUUGUUGUGUCGGGUGUGGUGGCAGUUGUUGUGUCAGGUGUGGUUGUGGUGCCGGUUGUAAUAGGUGUGGUUGUGGUUGUGGUAGGUGUGGUUAUAGGUGUUGUGGUGCUGGUUGUGGUGAUGGGCUCCGUUUCUGUUGUGCGAGUUUCGAUGAUUUGUAGAAAUUGGGGGGGGAGGUAA